GGGACUCCUCGUGGUGUCUUGGAAAAGGGGAAACUUCAUCACCUUAAGUUGUUUGUGGAACAAGGCAAAGUAAAUAUAAUUUUAAUUCAACUCUCAAGGCGUUCUACAGACUUCACUGCUGGAAAUUCCAGAAUUGGUAGCUAUUUUAAAUGCCUUUUCUACAGAUGGAGAAACAGAAGCUUAGGAAGUAAAAUUAAGAAACCUGACCAUGUGAUACGGGAAGAUGAAAAAGAAAAUCCAGGAAUCUUCUGUGCAAACCAGCAACACCAAACUUGACAAAAGCCCUCUCUGUAUUCUUUUUACAGAAAUCUAAGCAGGCUAGGUCAGGAGGAGUUAUUCAGAAUGUGGCACAAAACAGACAAAAUCAAAAGGAGUUAAGCAACACAGGAGAGUGGAAGGGCCUAAUGUAGGUCUAACCAGAGCUAUAGAAGAAGAGGAAAGAGAAAAAAGGGGUAGAGGCUAUAUUUCAAGAGAUAGGGCUCAGGACUUACCUGAACUGAUAAGCGACAAUCAAAAGAUUAAAGAAGCUCAAAGAUCUCAAUCAAGAUAAAUUUUAAAAAUCCCCCUCAGACACAUUAUAGUGAAACUACGAAUCAACAAUAGCGAAGUGUUAAAAGCAGCCAGAGAAAAAUGGGUUGCAUUCCAAGGAAAGAGAUUAACAGCCGAGCUCGACAGUGGAAGCCAGAAGACAGUGCAACAUCCUAAAAGGACAAUGUCCUCAAAGGAAAUCACUGCCAACAUCCCACUAAAAAUAUUUUUCAAGAAUGAGGAUAAAUUAAAGACGUUUUCAGAUCACCAAACACUGAAAGUUUGCCACUAGCAUCCCUUCACCAAAGGAAAGCCUACGAGAUGAAGGAAUGAAGAGCAAUCAAGUGGUGAGUGUGUGUGGGCAAACUGAGCGAACUGACUGUGUGAAACGACGAUGAUGAUGGCUUCUGGAUUUAAACUGGCAGUAUUUAAAAUCUACAAGUAGAGCGUAAGUCAAGAGCAAGGUAAAUGGAAUUGCAAGUGUUCCAAGGCACCUGAAUUGUCAGGAGCUUAAACCUAUUGAGCCAUUUUAGACUUUGGUAAGUGUGUAUGUUGAACUCAGAGGAAUAGGAACAAGGUGUGUUACUUUCGACCUAAUGGGAAAAGGUUAAAAUUUUUCCAAAGAAGGCCAAAAAUGGGAGAAAAUGAAACAAGAGGACAAAUAGCUAAAAAAAAAAAUAAGAUGAACGAUAC
rnacentral:lncRNA from 1 species